rnacentral:rRNA from 1 species
CGUGCAAAGGUAGCGCAAUCACUUGUCUCUUAAAUAGAGACCUGUAUGAAUGGCUAGACGAGGGCUUAACUGUCUCCCCCUUCCAGUCAGUGAAAUUGAUCUAUCCGUGCAGAAGCGGGUAUAAUUAUACAAGACGAGAAGACCCUUUGGAGCUUAAGGUACAAAGUUCAACCACGUUAAACGACUCCACAGAAAGCAAGAACUUAGUGGCAAAUGAAACUUUACCUUCGGUUGGGGCGACCACGGAGGAGAAGAAAGCCUCCGAGUGGACUGGGCUAAAUCCCCAAAGCCAAGAGAUACAUCUAUAAGCCGCAGAACAUCUGACCAAGAAUGAUCCGACUGAAAGGCCGAUCAACGAACCAAGUUACCCUAGGGAUAACAGCGCAAUCCUCUCCCAGAGUCCAUAUCGACGAGGGGGUUUACGACCUCGAUGUUGGAUCAGGACAUCCUAAUGGUGCAGCCGCUAUUAAGGGUUCGUUUGUUCAACGAUUAAAGUCCUACGUGAUCUGAG